rnacentral:rRNA from 1 species
UACAGAGGUCUCAAGCGUUGUUCGGAUUCAUUGGGCGUAAAGGGUGCGUAGGCGGCGCGGUAAGUCGGGUGUGAAAUCUUGGAGCUUAACUCCGAAACUGCAUUCGAUACUGCCGUGCUUGAGGACUGGAGAGGAGACUGGAAUUUACGGUGUAGCGGUGAAAUGCGUAGAUAUCGGGAGGAACACCAAUGGCGAAGGCAGCUCGCUGGGACGUUACUGACGCUGAGACGCGAAAGCGUGGGGAGCAAACAGG